UCGGAAUCACUGGGCUUAAAGGGCGCGUAGGCGGCUUGCCAAGUCAGGGGUGAAAUUUUGCGGCUUAACCGUAACAGUGCCUUUUGAUACUGGCAGGCUAGAGGGAGACAGGGGUCCGCGGAACUUCCGGUGGAGCGGUGAAAUGCGUUGAUAUCGGAAGGAACGCCGGUGGCGAAAGCGGCGGACUGGAUCUUUUCUGACGCUGAGGCGCGAAAGCCAGGGGAGCAAACGGGAUUAGAUACCCCGGUAGUCCUAGCCCUAAACGAUGGGUACUAGAUUGUAAGCGUGACAUGCGCCUACAGUCGAAGCAAAAGUGUUAAGUACCCCGCCUGGGGAGUAUGGUCGCAAGGCUGAAACUCAAAGGAAUUGACGGGGGCUCACACAAGCGGUGGAGCAUGUGGCUUAAUUCGAGGCUACGCGAAGAACCUUAUCCUAGGCUUGACAUGUGCGAAAGCGUCAGGAAGUAGGCGCCGGAAACGGCCGCCCAACGGUAUCCAGUCCGGAACCUGAUACAGGUGCUGCAUGGCUGUCGUCAGCUCGUAUCGUGAGAUGUCGGGUUAAGUCCCAUAACGAGCGAAACCCUUGCCUCUAGUUGCCAGCGGGUCAUGCCGGGGACUCUAGAGGGACUGCCGGUGUUAAACCGGAGGAAGGUGGGGAUGACGUCAAGUCCUCAUGGCCUUUAUGCCUAGGGCUGCACACGUGCUACAAUGCCGCGAACAAAGGGACGCAAACCCGCGAGGGGGAGCAAAUCCCAAAAAACGCGGCCCAGUUCAGAUCGAA
rnacentral:rRNA from 1 species